AGGAGCCCCGGGCUGGGGCUGAGAACCCCUGAGAUGGUGCUCCAAAGAUGCCACGGAUGUCAGCACUCCAAAGCUUGCUCGAUGUCGACUUUUGGAUUUAAACAGAGCCUGGCUGUAAAAGCAACUCAAAAUCCCAAACUUUAAACCCUGCUGCCUAGGUCUGUUAACUCUGAGCCCAAGGCAGGGAAAAGAGAUGUUCCUGUGUGCACAGCUGACCUUGGGCAUCUCUGGGCUCCAGUGCACAUGGAGCUCAGAAGCACCUGCUCUGUUUGCAACACAGACUGCAGUAAGGCAGUCCCUAAGCACAGCACCGGGUGGAUGAGCUAUGCUUCUGGCCAGGACAGAGAGAGCUUCAAAUCCUGUGAGGUGGAGAUCACUGCUGUUGCUCCAAUAGAGGCAAUACUGGCAGCUCCAGGAACACAGUGUCAUGCAGGACCAUGUCAAAGGCCUUAUAUAAGUCCAGGUAGAACCGUAUCUUUAUGGCAAAGGGCUGCAGUGUGUCCUGGAGAUGCACUUAUGACAUUUAUGGGAUGUGAGUGAAACCCUGCACCUCAGAGAUGAUUUUGUGUGUGUGUGGAUACACAUAUCCAUGACUGCACCUUUAAUCUGUCUCUAAUUAACAUUUAUUGCUGUGGCUUCAGGUCAAAGGAAACACCUCCACACUAAGGAAAUGUGCUCACAGUGCACAAGGGAUCACCAGGAACAAACCCAAUAUUGCAGCAGGAGGCUGAAGCAGCAGCCACCAGGCAGAGCCUGGAGGAGAGUGACCCAGCUCCCAGGAGUGGUGCUGUGAGUCUGCUCUGUGUCCUACAGCACUGCUGUGUGCCACUCCUCCAUAUGGGUGCCACGUGUUUCAGAGCUGACCCAGGUCUGAAGAGCAUAAUUAACUGAAACGAAGGGCUGUCAUCAGAUGAAGAUGCUCAGCUAUACCCAAGGUUUUUCCCAUGGCCCAGUAUUGGGUUGAGGGCACAUUUAGUGUAACUGUGCACCUGGUGUCAUUGCAGAAACAUUCAUCUUUGGGAAACAUAAUUGACGCUUUGGAGCUGAUGCACCAUGAAGGUAAAAUUAAGGAGAGGAAUAACACACUGGAAAUGUUUGGGUAACUUCCUUCUGGCACAGAACCACAUGUUUUGUGACCUAAAAGCAGUGUUCCCAAUAGCCCCGCAUAGGGCUGUGGGCCACUUACAUUAUUGAUAGGUACUUUGAUUGUAUUGUCUUGUUUCACCUCCGCUGUGUGGGGACGUGUCCUGAUGCUGAAACAGAAUGAGUACAGCACCGUAUUUCCAGGCAUGGGAGUUCCCAGGUGCUCCUUCCAUCCAGAAGGGAUCUGCACUGUCGUUGAGAUGGACCUAGAUGAUCCAUACUCACUGACUGAUGUCAGCAGUCACUGUAGUUGUCUACAAAGCAAAGGGUCAACAGCGACCUACAGCAUCUGUCAAGGUCGAGCAGGAGCAGGAUGUGAAAUGAGCCCUUUCCCUUUCCUUUUUCCACUAGCACAAAGGAGAGGAGUAGCAUUGAGGUCAGAUGGGACCAAGGUAACUUCUUACUCUGCUGGAACCGUACUGUGCAGUGGCCUUUUAGGAGCAGUCCCUGAGCUUGCAUGUCCCGACAGCAGCACAGAACAUCAACCAUCCGUCAGUAAUUACAGCAACAGAGGACUUGAGAUCAAAGGAUGUUUGGGAAUGAUGUGGCACAGCAAACAUAUGGAAAUCAGAGGGUUUAUCUCUGCAUCUGUCUGUAAAGCUGACUACUCUCCGGCUGUAACCUGCCCUGGGAAAGCAACUCUGCCUCAUUGCCACUCAUUCUUGCUUCCAGGCAGAACUGACCUUGUCUGGAUGAUGUCGCUGGGUGAAGUGAACACAGGGGAGCUUGGUGACUGUAUCUUAUAGCAGUCCCUCUGGCUCACGGUGCGGGGCAGAGCCAGCCACAGCCAACCCCUGCUGCAUGGUGCAACCGUCGCCAUAAAGGC
ensembl:lncRNA